GUGUGUUAAUGAGCUAUCUCUUGAAUUUGUCCAUUGAUCGUGUCUCAGAAAUAUUUUCUCAUUGUUUCAUCACACUGAAACUUUGGCCAAGAAAUGUUUAAAAUUCAAAGCAUUGAUAUCAAUUUCCCCCCCCUUUUUUUUUAAAGGCAACUUACAAGAUUAAAAUUAAAUUUGGUUGAUGAUGGUUCUGGACAAAUACAGCUCUUUUAUUUGAGGUAUGCCAUUUUGAAGACAGACCCGUGGAAUUUUAUCCUUGAGGAUAGGGGAAAUCUUUGUGAAAGUCUGUAUUUUAUAAAGCAAAAAGAAUAUAUCACUAAAGGUUGUCAGUGCAACAUAAAUUGUAUACUCAUUAUCUUGAGAAAGGGAUGAGAAAAAGCCCAUCAAAUUCUUUACCUUACAUCAAAGCAGUUUUGUGUUAAAACAUUAAAACAGUUGAUACAUGUAAUUUGUAACAGAGCGAUGAGACAUUUGAUGUUUUUCAAUCAAAUGGUGCUUUAGGGUUAUGGUUAAAUCAAUAGUUGAGUCAUCAGAAUUAUGUAUCUUUACAAUCUGAAAUGUACAUUCUGUAGACAUUUUUUUGUGAUGCAGAUUACAAAUGACCUAGAAUUUUGUAGUUGCAGCUCUUAUGAUUCUAAGGAACUAUAUUUCAAAAGCUAAAUACACUUUCAUAUUCUAGUUAUUAUGUAGUGAAUUUAAAAUUCUGAUUUUUUUUCUGUUUUUAUGAGUUCGCUUUCAAAUAGGCACAAAAAUAAGUAAGUUAUCUGAUAGGAAACUAGAAUAAUACGGCUGAGGAGACCUUGAAAAAUGUAGCUUAGUCUUUUUAAAGCAUAAGAAGGAAGAAAUAAUUUCAACAUAUGUGUGAUGUUUUGACAUCUUAAAGCUAGACAUAUGAAUGAAAAAAUAUGUACAAUGAAAAUUUUCAGGAAUUAUUUCCUACUCUUAAGUUAACACUAAAUGUGGAAAUAAAUGCCAAGCCAAUAUUAGCAAGGGAUUUACCAGAGGAAAUAUGUAAUAUAAUGAGAUAUCUUGGGAAAUUUUAAGAAUAGCCAAAUAACCAACUAGUUAACAUGAGGGCAGGUUUACCUUUGUCCUUGUAAUUUUUGUGGAAUAUCUUUUAUCUGUUGUUGUUGACUUAUUCUGUUGAUACAAAUAGGUGAUAAAAAGUAUUAUUUUUUUUACCUUUGCUUUAGCUUAAUUUUUGCCUUUCAAUCCUUUUGCAAUUUGACCAAAUUUGUGUUUAUUAUAGUGUGCAAAAGGAAACCAAAUGUUAGACCUUUAUACUUUUAAAAGAUGUAGCAUAUAUAGAAAAGUCAGUAUCUUUCAUCCUAAGUUUCUUUAAUACAAAUAUCAAGUUUAGGGUUUUCUCUGUGUAAAUGAUUGGAUAUUGGAUUGGCAUUCAGAUGUGGUUAGGCAUUGCUAUAAAAAUUGAGAAUUGAGCCUCUUAAGACACAAAUAUAUUUGAAGUUUAAUGUAAAUUUAAGCAUAAAUUGACAGUAAAUUUAUAAUCGCCUACCAGAGGUAUAAUUUGACCCAUAAAAAAAGAAUAAAGAAGAUUAGAAACAUUAAAUGAAGAUUAUCCUUUUUAGUCUAGUAUUAGUAAUUAUAAAAAUAACAAAUGAUACGGUAAGUUCUACAUUAAUGUAAUAGAAUACAGCUUUCUUUUUAUUAUCAACAAGGCAAAAGUAAUAAAUUACAUUUUAAAAAGAUCUGCAUGGACUUCUGAGCCAAGCUUGUAAAAUUUGCAGUGUUUUUGAUGUAUAAAAAUAGUGGAUUCAUGAGAAUAAAAUGAAGAUACUACUUUAAAUUACUAUAUUUCAUAAAUAAUUUACUUUGCUACCAUUUUCUGCUUAAGAGCCAGAGUGAUAAAUGCUUAAAUAUUUGUUUUUAUUUUAGCAUUUUGAAUCUUGAACCAGAAAAAUCACCUGAUCAAGUUGGUGAUUGGGUUGCAUUGCAUUUGUUAGUUAUAGUAAUAACUGUUUAAAAAAUUACCCGAAGUUCCACAGAAAUGAAAGAAACCAUGCCUGUAGUUAAUACAAGGUUGUUAUGAACUAUACAUGUCACUAAGAGGCUAGAUUAUAUGAAAUUAAUCUUGGAAGGCCGUUAGGCUUACCAUUAUACCAUCAACGUACACUGAAAUAGGUAAUUUUGUAUACAAAUUUUCUUUUAAGUUUAGUUUACUAUUACCCGAAGUUUCUUAUUUAAAAAUUUGGACUGUGGACAGCCAAUUAAUUUACCUUUUCUAUGAGAUUUAUACUUUUUUGAGAGGCUUAGGGGGAAAAAGAUAAUUUGAGGACCUCUCCAUCUCUUGCAUUGAUGAGAGGUGUGUGAUAGAGCAGAAAGUAUAACUCUGAUGCAGCAGUCAGGAGAGCUGGCUUCUAACCUAAAUUACCCUUGUGAUUUUGACGUUUUAUUCAUUGUGGCCCUUCUCUUAAUUUGUUUAAAGUAUUUGAAAUAUUCAAUUUCUUAUGAUACCUUUUUGGUCUCAAAUUGUGUGGUAAAAAUAAUAGAAUGUCUUGAUUCUCUUAAACUGCCUAAGUAUUUUUGUAGUUUUUGAAUUGCAAAUCAUGGUUGUUAUUUCUGUGGUGAAGUUAAUUUGAAUAACAAGACCUGGGUGAUAAUGUACCCAGCUUUCCUAAUUUUAGGCAUUCCAUAAUAUUAAUAAAUAGUAUAAAGCAGACAUAAUGGAAAGUUAAUCUUAAAAAGCAGUUAAGGUGUGAAAUUGUCUUUAAAAAACAAAGAUUUAGAAGGCUACAAUAAAAACAUUGUUUGAAUUUUUGCCUAGUUAUUUUAUUAAAUAAUUUAAAGAUUAGUGUAUUUAAGGUAAUUUGCACCUGACCAUCUGAUUAUAAAUGGUGAUUUAUAAUUUACAUGCUUGACAUAAUCUUUUUAAGAAGUUUCUAUUCUUCAAUGAUAAAUAUACCUCAUUUACCUUUUCCCUUACAGAUCGAGUGGCUCAAAACAGACAGUUUUCAUAUUGGCUGUUAGUGCUGAAUAUAGAUAAUUUUUAAAAUUUAAAUUCAAGGAUACUCUCAACUUUCUAAAGCAAAAACUGACUUGAUUUACGUAACAUUCAAGUAGCAUGUUUCUUACCGUUUGAUAAAGUUUUAUACAUUGUAUAAAGCUAGAUCCCUGUUUUAAAAGAUAGUUCUUUGUUUUUUGAAACUAUUCCAUUUAUUUGAAAUUGAAUAUUUCCUAAGCAAGCAAUUAUAUCCUUAAUGUGAUAGAGUCAUUUCAAUUUAGGUUAUUAAGCUAGAUAUUUUGCUUAACAUUAAUGGUUUGUGAGUUGUGAUGUUUUCUUAUAUAACUGUUAAUGAAUUUAUCACUACCUUAUUUUUGUGGAAGAUUUCUUAUAUUUCACAGUACUCUCAGGUUUAAUUCUUAAUUUAAAUGUAAAAAUUGUUUUAGGGACUUUAAAAGGUGACAAAAUCAGGAGUUCCCAUCGUGGUGCAGCAGAAACAAUCCAGCUAGGAACCAAGAGGUUUUGGGUUCGGAUCCCUGCUCUGUGGGUUAAGGAUCUGGCAUUACCAUGAGCUGUGGUGUAGGUUGCAGAUGUUCAGACUUGGCGUUGCUGUGGCUGCUGUGGCAUAGGCUGGCAGCUUGGAUUGGAUCCCUAGCCUGGGAACCUCCAUAUGCUGUGGGUGCAGCCCCCCCCCAAAAAAAGGUGACAAAAUAAAAUAUUCUUAGAUGCACAAAUGGGCUAGUAAUGGUAGGACUUGAUUCAGGCCAUCUUGUCUUUUAUUAUGACAAGCAAUCAAAAUUGUUAUUUGCAUUAUAGCUAUAAUUUCAUACUAAAUGAGGAUCUUUGAUACUGCAAAAUAUUAAAAAUAGGUAGGCAUGUGAGCAAAAUUAUCAACUUUGAUAGUUUGCUUAAUGUGAACUUGGUUUACCUCCCCCUUAAAAGGAGGGCUGAGUGGGCCGAGUACUGCUUUGUCAGUGUUUGGAAAGGAAAUUGUAUGGCAGGUUAAAUGGGUGUCAGUAAUCUUUGUGGUGGUACAAGAUGUGACCCAGGUCAUCUUCUGUUUUUGGUGGACUGAGCACCUUGAGCCCUAAUACUUGUACUGGUAGGUAGCCUUUUUUUCCUUUUUUUCUUUUUUUUAAAUUAGAGUACAGUUGAUUUACAAGUAGGUGGCUUUUUUGUAAGCAGGUUCUCAGACUGAUGUGAUAGAUUUCCCUCAGACUUUGCUUUCACCCAACAUUCCUUAGGUCAUUUCCACCCUUCUCUUGGGGUUUAUAUCAAUUUAUUUUACUUGGCUGAUUUAGAAUUUGUCUUUGUUCACAAACUUUUCUUUAUAAAGUCAGAUUAAAUUUGGAAGUUUAAGAAUAAAUAAUGCUGUGUUUCUUGUAAAUUGUUUCAUUUAUUAACUUCUUGGGAGGAUAUUUUAGCAUGUUGCUCUUAAAAGUAAUUUUGAAGCAGAUCUUUGCAAUAUUUCUUGGUUGUGAUUAGUCAAAAUGAUUAAAGGGAUUUAGAUUUGGUAAGAUAAUCAGGAAGUUGGCUUUAAAAUUUGAAAAUUGGAAACCUUAGUCAUGGAAAAGCAUUUGGGUAAGCAUAGUUUUAGAUUAAGUCCUAAACUUUGGCUUUCUAAAAAUCCUCACAUUGCUACACUUAAAUAGUGAACUUUUAAACAAAGCUUUUUGGGUAGUUCUAGCUAUUGUGAUUAUUAUGAUCAACUUAGGAGCAGGAGAGACUGAAAAAAGUGUAUACCUAUGUUCUCAAAAAUGUAUUUGAGAUGUAGGAAACAUCUUUCACAUGAGGUAUUUCAGUCUAACUAGUGAACUAACUAGUGAAGACUAUGGAUGUAUCCUGAUCAAGCAAAUAUUUUUAGGAAGGGUUAGUGUUGAGUAGGUCAUUGUAAGUAGUAGUACAAAAAGCUUGACAUUUUAAGAUUUCGAUCCUAGAACAGUGUUGAUUAGAGUACAUGAUAAUGUGAAAUAAUAUGGUAAUAUUAAGGAGUGAGUAAUACGGCCUUGCCAGGUUGGUAAUGGAAGUUUUCCUUUAGAAGUCUUAAAAGUAGAUUAGAUGAAAGACUAGAAAAUAAAGUAAUUCUGUGCUGUUAAGGAGUGAUAUUGGCUUUUAUAUUAAUCAGCUACCUCUCAGCUGCCCAUUAGAUCUACCUAAAGAGCCCAGACUUUACUAGGGAGUUCUUGGAGCAUGAGAAAUGUUUUUACUCUACAGGUGAGCCUUCUGAACAGUCAAAUUUAAGAUCCUCUGGAUUAGAACUUUGUUGUUUUGUUUUGUUUUGUUUUGUUUUGUUUUGGAUUAGAACUUUUGGCUACAUUUAUAAAUGCACAUAUGUCUUGGUCUUUCGGAGAGUGAUCCUGAUAAGGUGUUGAAAUUUCCAAAUCUAUUUUUGUCUUUUUUGUAUGUGUACAAUUAUAUUCUUUUUGUUUUCUGCAGCAAUAUGAAUCCUGAGGCUGAAUUGUCUAAGGGGCCUGUACAGCGAAAUAGAUGUAAGUUUUACUCAAUUUACAUUUUUAAUUUGUUUUUUACUUUUACAUGUGACUUUGGAAAUUCUGAGUAAUUGAGUCAGAGUCUCUAAAAAUGUAGAAGAAUUUAGUGAAGUUCCAAGCAGUACAGAUAUAAAUCAACAUAGAUGUAUGUGGCUUAUUAUUAAAAUUUUGGUUAUUAUUCCAACCUCUUUUCCUUUCUUUACUUAAAGAGAGGUAUAAAUGGAUGGAAGGAAACUCACAUUUGAACAUUCUUCUAAUACUGCACCCUAGCUGUUGGUAAGCUCCCCAUUUUUAUAAAUAAAGUUUUAUUGGAACACAGCUAAGCUCUUUCAUUUACAUAUUAGCUGUGUCUGCUUUCUGACUACAGCUGCAGAGAGUAGAUUUAGCUAAUGGCCACAAACCCUAACAUAUUUAGUUAUUUAGUAUUUUAACCUGUAAGGAAAUCUUGCCUAUCCUUUCCCUAGAUUCAUCCUUUUUGUCAACUUUAUGUAGAACUCAAAAGCACUUGGAUUCUCUUAAUAAUGGGGGUGUACCUUUUACUUUGUUAGUAUUUCAUUGUUAGAAUUCAAAUAACAUAAGUAAUCAUGAGCUUGGCUUAAACUCCAAAGCCCAACAAAGGUUCUUUCACACCAGCAUUAUGCUUUAAUAUUAGAAGAUUUGGGGAGUUCCCGGUGUGGCACAGUGGAAAUGAAUCAACUAGUAUAGUAUCCAUGAGGAUUUGGGUUCUAUCCCCGGCCUCACUCAGUGGAUUAAGGAUUUGGAGUUGCUGUGAGCUGUGGUGUAGGCCAGCAGCUGCAGCUCUGAUUCGACCCCUAGUCUAGGAACUUCCUUAUGACACAGGUAUGGCC
rnacentral:lncRNA from 1 species